UUACGGCCAUAUCACGUUGAAAAUUCCGAUCACCGAAGUUAAGCAACAUCAAGCCUGGUUAGUAUUUAGAUUGAUGACCGGUUGUGAAUACCAGGUGCUGUAAG